rnacentral:misc_RNA from 1 species
UCUCCAGGGCUGUGGCGGAUACUGUCGGAUGACGGUAGAAUUAUUCAAAGAUAAUGCUCUCUUAGGAAGAAGGGAUCCAGGACGCCUGAGUGGAAACCGCUGUGGAGAGCCAGCUCUUUUAUCUGGUUUUUUGUUGAUCGAAGUAUUUGUAAACGUAAAAAUUCCUUGUCUUGAGGAAAACUGUGGAGACUGUAAUGUAGAAUGCCCUCGUCUGAAAAUAGAUGGAGAGGUCCCCCUUAUUGUUGCUUGAACAGCACUUUUGAACUGAUACGAACUGUAAUCAGCACUGAAGCUUCUUUUGUGAAAUUUUAAUUUGGUGUCUGCAGACUCCUCAACUGGAAAUAUGUAUCGCUUUUGGUAGUUGGGAGUUUCUACCAUCAAAACCUGUUGAGAAAGUCCCCCAUGGUUGAUAUACUCUUGGCAUGUUUGUAGUCUCUGUUCCAGGCAAGAGAAUCGAAGCUCCAGAGCUGAAAAUUGGCUGAUCUUUUCUUCGGAAUAGCUAUUAACUUUG